rnacentral:rRNA from 1 species
GGUUAAGCGACUAAGCGUACACGGUGGAUGCCCUGGCAGUCAGAGGCGAUGAAGGACGUGCUAAUCUGCGAUAAGCGUCGGUAAGGUGAUAUGAACCGUUAUAACCGGCGAUUUCCGAAUGGGGAAACCCAGUGUGUUUCGACACACUAUCAUUAACUGAAUCCAUAGGUUAAUGAGGCGAACCGGGGGAACUGAAACAUCUAAGUACCCCGAGGAAAAGAAAUCAACCGAGAUUCCCCCAGUAGCGGCGAGCGAACGGGGAGCAGCCCAGAGCCUGAAUCAGUGUGUGUGUUAGUGGAAGCGUCUGGAAAGGCGCGCGAUACAGGGUGACAGCCCCGUACACAAAAAUGCACAUGCUGUGAGCUCGAUGAGUAGGGCGGGACACGUGGUAUCCUGUCUGAAUAUGGGGGGACCAUCCUCCAAGGCUAAAUACUCCUGACUGACCGAUAGUGAACCAGUACCGUGAGGGAAAGGCGAAAAGAACCCCGGCGAGGGGAGUGAAAAAGAACCUGAAACCGUGUACGUACAAGCAGUGGGAGCCUCUUUUAUGGGGUGACUGCGUACCUUUUGUAUAAUGGGUCAGCGACUUAUAUUCUGUAGCAAGGUUAACCGAAUAGGGGAGCCGAAGGGAAACCGAGUCUUAACUGGGCGUUAAGUUGCAGGGUAUAGACCCGAAACCCGGUGAUCUAGCCAUGGGCAGGUUGAAGGUUGGGUAACACUAACUGGAGGACCGAACCGACUAAUGUUGAAAAAUUAGCGGAUGACUUGUGGCUGGGGGUGAAAGGCCAAUCAAACCGGGAGAUAGCUGGUUCUCCCCGAAAGCUAUUUAGGUAGCGCCUCGUGAAUUCAUCUCCGGGGGUAGAGCACUGUUUCGGCAAGGGGGUCAUCCCGACUUACCAACCCGAUGCAAACUGCGAAUACCGGAGAAUGUUAUCACGGGAGACACACGGCGGGUGCUAACGUCCGUCGUGAAGAGGGAAACAACCCAGACCGCCAGCUAAGGUCCCAAAGUCAUGGUUAAGUGGGAAACGAUGUGGGAAGGCCCAGACAGCCAGGAUGUUGGCUUAGAAGCAGCCAUCAUUUAAAGAAAGCGUAAUAGCUCACUGGUCGAGUCGGCCUGCGCGGAAGAUGUAACGGGGCUAAACCAUGCACCGAAGCUGCGGCAGCGACGCUUAUGCGUUGUUGGGUAGGGGAGCGUUCUGUAAGCCUGUGAAGGUGUGCUGUGAGGCAUGCUGGAGGUAUCAGAAGUGCGAAUGCUGACAUAAGUAACGAUAAAGCGGGUGAAAAGCCCGCUCGCCGGAAGACCAAGGGUUCCUGUCCAACGUUAAUCGGGGCAGGGUGAGUCGACCCCUAAGGCGAGGCCGAAAGGCGUAGUCGAUGGGAAACAGGUUAAUAUUCCUGUACUUGGUGUUACUGCGAAGGGGGGACGGAGAAGGCUAUGUUGGCCGGGCGACGGUUGUCCCGGUUUAAGCGUGUAGGCUGGUUUUCCAGGCAAAUCCGGAAAAUCAAGGCUGAGGCGUGAUGACGAGGCACUACGGUGCUGAAGCAACAAAUGCCCUGCUUCCAGGAAAAGCCUCUAAGCAUCAGGUAACAUCAAAUCGUACCCCAAACCGACACAGGUGGUCAGGUAGAGAAUACCAAGGCGCUUGAGAGAACUCGGGUGAAGGAACUAGGCAAAAUGGUGCCGUAACUUCGGGAGAAGGCACGCUGAUAUGUAGGUGAAGCGACUUGCUCGUGGAGCUGAAAUCAGUCGAAGAUACCAGCUGGCUGCAACUGUUUAUUAAAAACACAGCACUGUGCAAACACGAAAGUGGACGUAUACGGUGUGACGCCUGCCCGGUGCCGGAAGGUUAAUUGAUGGGGUUAGCGCAAGCGAAGCUCUUGAUCGAAGCCCCGGUAAACGGCGGCCGUAACUAUAACGGUCCUAAGGUAGCGAAAUUCCUUGUCGGGUAAGUUCCGACCUGCACGAAUGGCGUAAUGAUGGCCAGGCUGUCUCCACCCGAGACUCAGUGAAAUUGAACUCGCUGUGAAGAUGCAGUGUACCCGCGGCAAGACGGAAAGACCCCGUGAACCUUUACUAUAGCUUGACACUGAACAUUGAGCCUUGAUGUGUAGGAUAGGUGGGAGGCUUUGAAGUGUGGACGCCAGUCUGCAUGGAGCCGACCUUGAAAUACCACCCUUUAAUGUUUGAUGUUCUAACGUUGACCCGUAAUCCGGGUUGCGGACAGUGUCUGGUGGGUAGUUUGACUGGGGCGGUCUCCUCCUAAAGAGUAACGGAGGAGCACGAAGGUUGGCUAAUCCUGGUCGGACAUCAGGAGGUUAGUGCAAUGGCAUAAGCCAGCUUGACUGCGAGCGUGACGGCGCGAGCAGGUGCGAAAGCAGGUCAUAGUGAUCCGGUGGUUCUGAAUGGAAGGGCCAUCGCUCAACGGAUAAAAGGUACUCCGGGGAUAACAGGCUGAUACCGCCCAAGAGUUCAUAUCGACGGCGGUGUUUGGCACCUCGAUGUCGGCUCAUCACAUCCUGGGGCUGAAGUAGGUCCCAAGGGUAUGGCUGUUCGCCAUUUAAAGUGGUACGCGAGCUGGGUUUAGAACGUCGUGAGACAGUUCGGUCCCUAUCUGCCGUGGGCGCUGGAGAACUGAGGGGGGCUGCUCCUAGUACGAGAGGACCGGAGUGGACGCAUCACUGGUGUUCGGGUUGUCAUGCCAAUGGCACUGCCCGGUAGCUAAAUGCGGAAGAGAUAAGUGCUGAAAGCAUCUAAGCACGAAACUUGCCCCGAGAUGAGUUCUCCCUGACUCCUUGAGAGUCCUGAAGGAACGUUGAAGACGACGACGUUGAUAGGCCGGGUGUGUAAGCGCAGCGAUGCGUUGAGCUAACCGGUACUAAUGAACCGUGAGGCUUAACCUU